rnacentral:rRNA from 1 species
AAAUUGAAGAGUUUGAUCAUGGCUCAGAUUGAACGCUGGCGGCAGGCCUAACACAUGCAAGUCGAACGGUAACAGGAAGAAGCUUGCUUCUUUGCUGACGAGUGGCGGACGGGUGAGUAAUGUCUGGGAAACUGCCUGAUGGAGGGGGAUAACUACUGGAAACGGUAGCUAAUACCGCAUAACGUCGCAAGACCAAAGAGGGGGACCUUCGGGCCUCUUGCCAUCGGAUGUGCCCAGAUGGGAUUAGCUAGUAGGUGGGGUAACGGCUCACCUAGGCGACGAUCCCUAGCUGGUCUGAGAGGAUGACCAGCCACACUGGAACUGAGACACGGUCCAGACUCCUACGGGAGGCAGCAGUGGGGAAUAUUGCACAAUGGGCGCAAGCCUGAUGCAGCCAUGCCGCGUGUAUGAAGAAGGCCUUCGGGUUGUAAAGUACUUUCAGCGGGGAGGAAGGGAGUAAAGUUAAUACCUUUGCUCAUUGACGUUACCCGCAGAAGAAGCACCGGCUAACUCCGUGCCAGCAGCCGCGGUAAUACGGAGGGUGCAAGCGUUAAUCGGAAUUACUGGGCGUAAAGCGCACGCAGGCGGUUUGUUAAGUCAGAUGUGAAAUCCCCGGG